rnacentral:rRNA from 1 species
AUGGUUAAGCUACUAAGAGCACACGGAGGAUGCCUAGGCGCUAGGAGCCGAUGAAGGACGUG